GACGAACGCUGGCGGCGUGCUUAACACAUGCAAGUCGAACGGUGAAGGGACCGGUUUUUGCUGGUUCUGGAUGAGUGGCGAACGGGUGAGUAACACGUGAGUAACCUGCCCCCUUCUUCUGGAUAACCGCAUGAAAGUGUGGCUAAUACGGGAUAUUCUGCGCCUGCUGCAUGGUGGGUGUGGUAAAGAUAUUGGUUCGGUGGGGGAUGGGCUCGCGGCCUAUCAGCUUGUUGGUGGGGUGAUGGCCUACCAAGGCGGUGAGGGGUAGGCGGCCUGGGAGGGUGAACGGUAAUACUGGGACGGAGACACGGCCAAGACUCCUACGGGAGGCAGCGGUGGGGAAUAUUGCACAGUGGGAGGAAGGAUGAUGCAGCGACGCCGCGGGAGGGAUGGAGGCCUUCGGGUUGUAAACCUCUUUCGCCAGUGAAGCAGGCCUGUCCAUUUUGUGGGUGGGUUGACGGUAGCUGGAGAAGAAGCGCCGGCUAACUACGUG
rnacentral:rRNA from 1 species